rnacentral:rRNA from 1 species
GACGAACGCUGGCGGCGUGCUUAACACAUGCAAGUCGAACGGAAAGGCCCUGCUUUUGUCGGGUGCUCGCGUGGCGAACGGGUGAGUAACACAUGAGUAACCUGCCCUUGACUUUGGGAUAACUUCAGAAAACUGGGGCUAAUACCGGCUAGGAGCUCCUGCUGCAUGGUGGGGGUUGGAAAGUUUCGGCGGUUGGGGAUGGACUCGCGGCUUAUCAGCUUGUUGGUGGGGUAGUGGCCUACCAAGGCUUUGACGGGUAGCCGGCCUGAGAGGGUGACCGGCCACAUUGGGACUGAGAUACGGCCCAGACUGCUACGGGAGGCAGCAGUGGGGAAUAUUGCACAAUGGGCGGAAGCCUGAUGCAGCAACGCCGCGUGCGGGAUGACGGCCUUCGGGUUGUAAACCGCUGUCGCCUGUGACGAAGCGUGAGUGACGGUAAUGGGUAAAGAAGCACCGGCUAACUACGUG